rnacentral:lncRNA from 1 species
CCCACAGUCAACCAUGGGCCAGAACAUAGUUACACUGCCACAAGUUGUGGAUGGGAGGGCUGGAUUUCCUGAACCCUUCCCAGCAUUGCUCGAGUUUCUUGGUUCCUCCGCUAGAGAAGAGGAGCCCCAGAGCUCUGUAGGCUCCAGAAAAGUGCCCAAAUCAUAAGCAGACAUCUCAUUGGAUUUACUGAGCACACCCAGGUAUCCACCACCCAAGGGAAGCAACGAAGGUGACCCCACCCAGCAUUUACCCUGUGUCCCUAUCUUGGACAUUGAUUCUGCUCCAGAGGUCACAAUCUCAUGCCGCCAAUUGCCAUAGAUUCGUUUUGCUUGGUCUUAAACUUUAUAUAAAUGGUAAGUUGCAAAAAGUGGAAACUUUCGUUACUGGAUUCUUUUGUUGGCCUUAUGCUUGUAAGAUGCGUCCACAAUGUUAAGAUACAUUUCUUGCAAUAAUUUGUAGAAUUUACAUCUUUACAAUGUUCAACAUUCCCAUUCAGAAUCAUGAUAUAGAUCUUCAUUUAAUCAAAUCUGUGCAUGUGUUAGAAAAUUCAAAGAGUGUAUUUUUAUAGUAUUGUAACUUGGUAAUUUAUGGCUUUAGUUGCUAUUGAGAGUAAAUUUUCCAGCAUAUUUUUAAACUGGUUCUUGCUGAUAAAAUACCCGGUGAUUAAAAUAUAUGUAUAUAGUUGUCGUUUUACAUAUAAAAUAUUUUAAUCAGCUUGUCUUUGAUUACUGGUAAAGUGAGCACAUUUCCAUGUGUUUAUUGGCCACAUUAAUUUUUACCUUUUAAUUGCUGCUACUGCUGCUUCUGCUUCUUCUUCUUGUUCUUCCUAGUUAUUCUUGUUAAUUUUAACAAUUCUUUAUAUUUUAAGGAUAUCUUUGGAAUAUGUUGUGAAAGUAUUUUCCCAGUUUAUCUUUUUUUCUUAACUUGUUGCUAUUUUUUGACGUAUUUUAAAAUAUGUGCAGAGGCAAAUCAAUCAUUUGUUUAUUUUGUGAUACCUUCUUUGCAUUUAUUUUUAGAACACUUUUUAUUAAAUGACUUAUCUUCCCUUCCUUUUUUUGAGGUAAUGUCUCUAUUGUAUACUAUAUAUAUUUGUAUCUAUUUCUGGACUUUAUAUUUUAUUCCAUUGAUAUGGCUAGGUAUAGAAUUGUACAAUUUAAAUUAUUAUAGCUCUAUAAAGCAUUUUGAUUUUUUUCAACGUGAGUCAUUUUUCCUUAUUCUGCUUUUCCAAACAAUUUUGGUUGUUCUCAUUUUUUCUUGCAAAUAAAAUAUAUGUAUCAUUUCAC